ACAUGAGAUAUAAACAGAAAAAGAAGCCACUUCAUAUGUAAUGAAAAAGGAAGAUGCUUCCUCAAGAUCUCAAAAGCUCGGAUUCACACUCCUUAUCCUCCCGGAGAAGAGUAAGGAAGUCUUUCUCUCCCUGGAUGUGAAUAGGAUUCAUUUGAGAAGUCCUUCCUACACUCCCCAAGGUUUUUGGUACUGUUUGCACAAAAAGCUACCGUGGAGAUGCCCUCUCUGAGCUGGUGGCAGGUCUGUCCCGCCUGAGGGUGCCAUGCCCCGCACGCUUUGCCUUGGAGAGGUCUGCACCCCGUGACUCGGGCCCCCAUGCCAAUCCCACAUUCUGACUUCUGUGCAGAAGCCAGCCCCUCCAGAAGGCUAUGUAUUUAAAGUUUUCCAUCCCAGGAGAACCGUGGCUAGAUGAAGAUGCAUUUCAUCAACCCUGCAAGAAACAAACAACAAAACAAAAUACUGGAGCAAGAGAAUCACUUUCUUCAAGUGAGAACCCAGAAGACCAAAAUGCUAGGCUUUUAUAGCAUCCAUUCCUUGGGUUCUCUUUCACAAGAAGUUGCCUUUGCAUUCUUCUUUUACAGAAGGAAGAAUACGGGCACCUGGGUGGCUCAGUCAGUUGAGCAUCUAACUUCAGCUUAGGUCAUGGUCUCACAGCUCACAUGUU